CGUUUUGUGAAUAUGUACUCGAUGCAAUCUCUAUCAUCAGUUUUAACAUUACAUCCUCGUAUGUCGAUUCUUUGAAAGUUACGGACAUCUCUAUUGGUAUGAUGAAAAAAGUUACGGACAAGUUGUUUUGAAGUUACGGACAGCCUAAGUGUUUUUUUAAAUCGUGCUGUGAUCGUUUAUUUUGUAGAAUUUAAUCACCUUUCCAGUUUAGGGGUUUCCCUAAACGAUUAAUACAACUUUUAAAUUCAGUUGUUUAAUUGAUGCAUUCGUGGUAUUGUUAUUCUAUAGAAGAAAAGUAUCUAACCGACGCAAGGCGGCUCCAUCUUGGGCUGUGGGUAACUUAAGUUACCCACAGCCGUUUAAGCACAGUGAUCACGG
rnacentral:lncRNA from 1 species